GACAUUAUUAUCUAACGGAGAGCCUAGUGCGAGGUGGAGCUUCAGGAGCCAGGUGGAGCUCAAAGUGAGGUGGAGCUCUAGGUGGAGGUGGAUUGGGCAUGAGACAAGAGACUCGGGAGGAUGAGAAGUGACAUCGCAAGAUGAGAUUCUUAUUACUGCAGGAUGAUGCUCCGAGUAGGUUUCAGGUCAAGAAAAGAACAGCAUACGACAG
rnacentral:lncRNA from 1 species